AGAACGAACGCUGGCGGCAGGCUUAACACAUGCAAGUCGAACGCUCCGCAAGGAGAGUGGCAGACGGGUGAGUAACGCGUGGGAAUCUACCUAGUUCUACGGAACAACAGUUGGAAACGACUGCUAAUACCGUAUACGCCCUACGGGGGAAAGAUUUAUCGGAAUUAGAUGAGCCCGCGUAAGAUUAGCUAGUUGGUGGGGUAAUGGCCUACCAAGGCGACGAUCUUUAGCUGGUCUGAGAGGAUGAUCAGCCACACUGGGACUGAGACACGGCCCAGACUCCUACGGGAGGCAGCAGUGGGGAAUAUUGGACAAGUGGGCGCAAGGCCUGAUCCAGCCAUCGCCGCGUGAGUGAUGAAGGCCUUAGGGUUGUAAAGCUCUUUCAGGUUGGGGAAGUACUAAAUGAACGGUACCCAAGAGAAAGAACGCCCCGGCUAACUUCGUGCCAAGCAGCCGAC
rnacentral:rRNA from 1 species